rnacentral:rRNA from 1 species
UACGAAGGGUGCAAGCGUUACUCGGAAUUACUGGGCGUAAGCGUGCGUAGGUGGUGAGUUAAGUCUGUCGUGAAAGCCCCGGGCUCAACCUGGGAAUGGCGAUGGAUACUGGCUCGCUAGAGUGCGGUAGAGGAGAGUGGAAUUCCCGGUGUAGCAGUGAAAUGCGUAGAGAUCGGGAGGAACAUCAGUUGCGAAGGCGGCUCUCUGGACCAGCACUGACACUGAGGCACGAAAGCGUGGGGAGCAAACAGG